rnacentral:rRNA from 1 species
AAUCGAACACCCAUAGGCGAAGACAACUCGAAGACGCAUGUCACGGGAUUACGGGUUCGGCAUUGGCGCAAGCCUACGUCGGAUCCCUCCAUCCCAGGGUGCCCCGAUACGGGUGGGAGCGGGCCUCCGGGCGUCAUUCUACCCACCGGGGAUACCCCGAUUGUGCAGGAUGCUGCCCCAAAGAUGGUGAACUAUGCCUGAGCCAGGUGACUUCAAGUUAACUUCUGAUAUGGGAGUUCAAUUGAUCUGACCCGCCCGAAGGUGGUACCAGUCCCAUUGGCUCGCGUGCAAGAUAGACUUCUUGGUCCGUGUUUCAAGACUCCG